CUACGGGUGGCAGCAGUGGGGAAUAUUGCACAAUGGAGGAAACUCUGAUGCAGCAACGCCGCGCGGAGGAUGACACUUUUCGGAGCGUAAACUCCUUUUAUAUAGGAAGAAGAUGACGGUACUAUAUGAAUAAGCGCCGGCUAACUCCGUGCCAGCAGCCGCGGUAAUACGGAGGGCGCAAGCGUUACUCGGAAUCACUGGGCGUAAAGAGCGUGUAGGCGGAUUAAAAAGUCAGAAGUGAAAUCCUAUAGCUUAACUAUAGAACUGCUUCUGAAACUCUUAAUCUAGAAUAUGGGAGAGGUAGAUGGAAUUAGUGGUGUAGGGGUAAAAUCCGUAGAGAUCAGAAGGAAUACCGAUUGCGAAGGCGAUCUACUAGAACAUUAUUGACGCUGAGACACGAAAGCGUGGGGAGCAAACAGGAUUAGAUACCCCAGUAGUC
rnacentral:rRNA from 1 species